rnacentral:rRNA from 1 species
GAUGAACGCUGGCGGCGUGCCUAAUACAUGCAAGUCGAGCGAACAGACGAGGAGCUUGCUCCUCUGACGUUAGCGGCGGACGGGUGAGUAACACGUGGAUAACCUACCUAUAAGACUGGGAUAACUUCGGGAAACCGGAGCUAAUACCGGAUAAUAUAUUGAACCGCAUGGUUCAAUAGUGAAAGACGGUUUUGCUGUCACUUAUAGAUGGAUCCGCGCCGCAUUAGCUAGUUGGUAAGGUAACGGCUUACCAAGGCAACGAUGCGUAGCCGACCUGAGAGGGUGAUCGGACACACUAGAACUGAGACACGGUCCAGACUCCUACGGGAGGCAGCAGUAGCGAAUCUUCCGCAAUGCGCGAAAGACUGACGGAGCAACGCCGCGUGAGUGAUGAAGGUCUUCGGAUCGUAAAACUCUGUUAUUAGGGAAGAACAAAUGUGUAAGUAACUAUGCACGUAUUGACGGUACCUACUCAGAAAGCCACGGCUAACUACGUG